rnacentral:misc_RNA from 1 species
UCGAGUUACCGCUCUACAACCCUUUGUGAACAUACCUAACUGUUGCUUCGGCGGGCAGGAGGUCCCCCCGGGGACGCCCUCCCGGCCCCGCCCCCCUACCAGGGGACGUGGCGCCCGCCGGAGGAUACCCAACUCUAUUUUAACGACGUUUCUUCUGAGUGGCACAAGCAAAUAAUUA